rnacentral:rRNA from 1 species
GACGAACGCUGGCGGCGUGCCUAACACAUGCAAGUCGAACGGAAAGGCCCUGCUUUUGUUGGUUGCUCGAGUGGCGAACGGGGGAGUAACACGUGUGUAACCUGCCCUUGACUUUGGGAUAACUUCAGGGAACUGGGGCUAUUACCCCAUAUGAUCUCCUGCUGCACGGUGGGGGUUGGAAAGUUUCGGCGGUUGGGGAUGGACUCGCGGGUUACCCGCUUGUUGGUGGGGUAGUGGCUUACCAAGGCUUUGAAGGGUAGCCGGCCUGAGAGGGUGACCGGCCACAUUGGGACUGAGGUGCGGCCCAGACUCCUACGGUAGGGAGCAGUGGGGAAUAUUGACCAAUGGGCGGAAGGCUGAUGAAGCAGCGCCGCGUGCGGGAUGACGGUCUUCGGGGUGUAAACCACAUUCGCAUGUGACGAAGCGUGUGUGACGGUAAUGGGUAAAGAAGCACCGGCUAACUACGUG